CGCAGGAGUCCUCCCACGGCAACAGCAGCUCUCCCUUCCUCUCCACGGCUGCAGCAGGGCGCCCCUCUUCUCCGGCAGCAAGCUCCCUCCCAUGGCGGCUGCUCCUCCUCCCUCUGCUUCUUGCCGCAGGAGCAGGAGCUCCCUGGGAGCACGCCGGUGCCCCUGCUCUCCCCUUGGCCGCCAGCAGCCAUGGCCGCCAGCCCCCGGCGAGCUCGGGUUCUUCUCCCUGGAACGCAGCAGCUCUGCUCGCCCCCUCCCAUGGCGCUGGCCACUCUCCCGUGGCGUGCUGCCCCCAGCCCGACGUCCUGCAACCUCCAUGGACGCCCCUGUUUUCUUCUUCGCACUGCAGCAGGCAGCCUUUCUUCCCUGCGCGCUGUAGCUCCUUGGGCUGACCUCGGCGAGGUUCGUGUCCAUGGCGACGCAGCAGCUCCAUUCCUCCAUGGCCAGCCGCCCCUCUGUUGCUGCCGAGCUCCAGCUCCGGCCAGCAGCCACGGCGCCGAGGAUUCCCUGCGCGCGAGCACAAGCCCCAUUUCUUCUACCCCUGUCCGGCGCCCAGCGGCAUCCAUGCGCAGCGCCGCUGCUCCAUUUCCUCCCCAUCUUCCCCACCAAACAGCACCCGCAGCGAGUCACCGUCGCCCAUGGCCGAGCCCCCUUCCUCCCUGGCCGCCCAGCUCACUGUCCAGGGCGCCCAGAAAAUUUUAGCAGCGAGCUCCACGGCCGAUCUGCGCAGCAAGCUGCACGCCGCAGCAGCAUGCUCCUUCGCCUCGCGCGUUGAGUGCUCGACGAAUCGCCGCAGCGAGCCACGCCCUCCGGCUUCGCUUUGGUCGCCCAUGCGCGACGACGCGUUCGUCUUCACGCCACAUGUGCAGCAACCACGACGGAGAUUUGAUAUG